AGUAGAAUCAGUGAAAAUAUCACUAAUUGAAACAGUAAAAUAAGAUUUCACUGAGAAUCAGUGAGUAUUUCACUGAACUUCAGUAGAAUGUUUACUUUUUGUUUCUUUAUCUUAUAUUUCACUGAUUAUGGUCAGUGAAAGUAAGAUGUUACUGUAAAAUCAGUUAUCUGUUGGUAAUACUGAUUGAUGGUGCGAGGAAGCGGAACAGGAUUGUGAUCUCAGUGAUGUGUGAAACAGAAAACGAGAACGAAGUAUACGUGACGAAGGACGAAGCGGUGCUAAGUGUACAUUACGAAGAAUGAGAGAAACUGCGGUACUGAGCUAAGCGUGCUUGCGAAAAAGGUGAGGUUAAAACAUAAACCACGGCGUAUUGAACGAGAGAACUGAACAGCAAACAGAAUAAGAUUAUUAAUCUCGGUUAUCGUUGGAAACUUAUCAAAAGGAAAGAACAUUGAUAAAGGACAACAUGAUGAUCCUCCUAUUUUUCCAAAUUCUUCGUUAAUACAGAUAUGGCCUGAAGGAACAAACAUAGAAGCACAAGCUCGUAAGCUGAAGAAUGUUUAAUUUUUAAUUGACUUCAUUCUGUAAACAUUUUGUACGUAACAAUUACAUUGUUGAAUAAAAAAUUAUAACACGUAUUAAGGUUAUUACUUUUUGUUACUGUUUGCUGGGACAUUUACUGAUUUAAUCAGCUUGCAUUACUGAUUUUGCUGUUCAAAGUCACUGUUUCCAGUAGUCCAAUAUUACUGAGUAAAACAGUCAAUAUUACUGAUUUAAUCAGUUCACAUUACUGAUUUUGCUGCUCAAAGUCACUGUUUUAGUAGUAUAAUAUUACUGAUUAAAAUAGUCAAUAUUACUGAUUUAAUCAGCUCACAUUACUGAUUUUGCUGUUUUAAGUCACUGUUUCUAGUAGUCCAAUAUUACUGAUUGAAACAGAUAUUAAUAACUAAUUCUUUCAGUGAAAUGUCACUGAUUCUAAGUGGUAUACUUAUAACUGCUUCAAUCAGUGACUAUUUACUGUUUCUCAGUAAAAAUACACUGAUUCUCUUUUAGAGAGU